rnacentral:rRNA from 1 species
CAGCCGCCGCGGUAAUACGAAGGGUGCAAGCGUUAAUCGGAAUUACUGGGCGUAAAGCGUGCGUAGGCGGUGAGUUAAGUCUGCUGUGAAAUCCCCGGGCUCAACCUGGGAAUGGCAGUGGAUACUGGCUCGCUAGAGUGUGUCAGAGGAUGGUGGAAUUCCCGGUGUAGCGGUGAAAUGCGUAGAGAUCGGGAGGAACACCAGUGGCGAAGGCGGCUUACUGGCUCAUACUGGACGCUGAGGUGCGAAAGCGUGGGGAGCAAACAGGAUUAGAUACCCGCGUAGUCCCUGUCUCUUAUAC